UACAGAGGUCUCAAGCGUUGUUCGGAUUCAUUGGGCGUAAAGGGUGCGUAGGUGGCGCUGUAAGUCGGGUGUGAAAUUUCGGAGCUUAACUCCGAAACUGCAUCGAUACUGCGGUGCUUGAGGACUGGAGAGGAGACUGGAAUUCAUGGUGUAGCAGUGAAAUGCGUAGAGAUCAUGAGGAAGACCAGUGGCGAAGGCGGGUCUCUGGACAGUUCCUGACACUGAGGCACGAAGGCCAGGGGAGCAAACGGG
rnacentral:rRNA from 1 species